GCGAAAGUGGUGAAAUGGUAGACACGCAAGGUUGAGGGCCUUGUGGCCGAAAGGCUGUACGGGUUCAAAUCCCGUUUUUCGCACCA
rnacentral:tRNA from 1 species